UAUAUAUAUAUAUAUAUAUAAGGAAAAUAAAAUAUCUGGGGGAUAGCCUUACAUUUUGGGAGAAGAAGGGACGGCCGUGGCCAUUGAUGAGUCUCCGAGUUUUUAUCUUCGAUUUUAUGUCGAAAUUUCAAUCUGAUCGCGUAAAACCUAAUAAAUCGAGUAAGCCCUAUCUAUCUAUCCUAGUUGUAUAUGCUGAAGUUCAGUAUUUUUUUUAAGUUAUAAAAUUUGAAAUAGUUGAUUAAGAUGGGGAUGUUUUAGUAUGCGAAUUUAUGUUUGAUAAUUUGUCAGAUACUUUACGUUUAGAUGUCAGCAAGCAUGUUUUGAUUGCUAUUUUGAAAGUUUAUAAAUCUUGCCUUGAUUAUCAUGAAAUGACAGAAUGCAGGGGGUUGUUUUAAUGUUGAAUUUGGUUGGGUUUUAUCUUGUUAGAAUGGAGAUAAACGUUAUAUGAUGCGCAGAAAUGUGUUUAGGAUCGAAAAACAAAACUAAAAGAAGUUCAGGUUGAAAUUAGGAAAAGGGGUCGAACUGAUCAGCCAUGGUUCAAUAAGUAGUGAUUUUAUUUUGAUAAUUCUAAUAUUGGAUUUGGAUUCUAGAUCGUCGAUAACGUCCAUAAUGAGUCUACUGGAAUUUUUUAGACGUUGUUUAGUUGGUUUUUAUAUUUUAAGUGAAUAUAUAUUAUAAAUGAUGAUAUAAAGAAUGUGUAUAAUUGAUAUGAACUGCUUGUGAGUAGUACAUAAGGCUGAUGAUUAUCAUCGGUGGUCGCAAAGAUAGGAUAAUAACCGGAAGAGAAAAACUAUGCGAAGAGACGGAAAAGUAAAGGUGGUAAAAUGACUUAUGCUCAUAAGUCUAUCAGGUUAGUUGGCAUUGGAGAGUACUAGUUGAGGUUUCUUACUGUCCGUCUCAGCACUGCAUCCUUGACGGGUCACUGAGCUCUGUUACCGAUAGAUCUUUCGAAUGGUUAGUUGUGGCAUGUUGGCACUAAAUAUUAUACUAAGCUACUUCCGUUGUAAUUGUAAAUAUUAGAUAAUGAUUUAAAUAUUUAGUUUUGGCUGGAAAAAAAGAAAUAAUGAAAAUUUUAAAUUACCAUA